rnacentral:rRNA from 1 species
UACGAAGGGGGCUAGCGUUGUUCGGAAUCACUGGGCGUAAAGGGCGCGUAGGCGGCCGUUCAAGUCGGGGGUGAAAGCCUGUGGCUCAACCACAGAAUUGCCUUCGAUACUGGACGGCUCGAGACCGGAAGAGGUCAGUGGAACUGCGAGUGUAGAGGUGAAAUUCGUAGAUAUUAGGAAGAACACCAGUGGCGAAGGCGGCUCACUGGUCCGGUACUGACGCUGAGGUGCGAAAGCGUGGGGAGCAAACAGG